rnacentral:rRNA from 1 species
AACGAACGCUGGCGGCAGGCCUAACACAUGCAAGUCGAGCGAGGACUUCGGUCCUAGCGGCGGACGGGUGAGUAACGCGUGGGAACGUGCCCUUUGCUACGGAAUAGCCCCGGGAAACUGGGAGUAAUACCGUAUGUGCCCUUCGGGGGAAAGGUUUAUCGGCAAAGGAUCGGCCCGCGUUGGAGUAGGUAGUUGGUGGGGUAAUGGCCUACCAAGCCGACGAUCCAUAGCUGGUUUGGGAGGAGGGUCAGCCACACUGGGACUGAGACACGGCCCAGGCUCCUACUGGAGGCAGCAGUGGGGAAUCUUAGACAAUGGGGGAAACCCUGAUCUAGCCAUGCCGCGUGGGCGAUGAAGGCCUUAGGGUUGUAAAGCUCUUUCAAUGUGGAAGAUAAUGACGUUACCCACAGAAGAAGCCCCGGCUAACUCCGUGCCAGCCGCCGCCGUAAAAC